GGAGGGUGCAAGCGUUAUCCGGAUUCACUGGGUUUAAAGGGUGCGUAGGUGGGCAAGUAAGUCAGUGGUGAAAUCUCCGGGCUUAACCCGGAAACUGCCAUUGAUAUUAUUUGUCUUGAAUACUGUGGAGGUCAGCGGAAUAUGUCAUGUAGCGGUGAAAUGCUUAGAUAUGACAUAGAACACCAAUUGCGAAGGCAGCUGGCUACACAAAUAUUGACACUGAGGCACGAAAGCGUGGGGAUCAAACAGGAUUAGAUACCCUGGUAGUCCACGCCCUAAACUAUGGAUACUCGACAUUUGCGAUAAACUGCAAGUGUCUGAGCGAAAGCAUUAAGUAUCCCACCUGGGAAGUACGAUCGCAAGAUUG
rnacentral:rRNA from 1 species